rnacentral:rRNA from 1 species
UACCAGCUCUCCGAGUGGUAGGGAUGAUUAUUGGGCUUAAAGCGUCCGUAGCCGGCUUGGCGAGUCUCCUGUUAAAUUCAGCGACCUAAUCAUUGACCCGCGGGAGAUACUACUGGGCUAGGAGGCGGGAGAGGCCGACGGUACUUCCGGGGUAGGGGUGAAAUCCUAUAAUCCCGGGAGGACCACCAGUGGCGAAGGCUGUCGGCUAGAACGCGCUCGACGGUGAGGGACGAAAGCUGGGGUAGCGAACCGGAUUAGAUACCCGGGUAGUCCCAGCUGUAAACUAUGCGGGCUAGGUGUUGGGGUGGCUACGAGCCACUUCAGUGCCGCAGGUAAGCCAUUAAGCCCGCCGCCUGGGGAGUACGGCCGCAAGGCUGAAACUUAAAGGAAUUGGCGGGGGAGCACCACAAGGCGUGAAGCUUGCGGUUC